AGGUUUGUCAUCAUGUAUUGUGAGACCUCUGGCUACAACACAGGACACGGGAGCUUUUCUGAACCCUCGUGUCUUGUGUUGCAGCCAGAGGGGCACAUCUUUGCGGCAGAGCCCCACUU
rnacentral:pre_miRNA from 15 species